AGUUAAUGAGCUUGUAAUUAAGCAUAUAUUUUGAAAAUAUAACAAAGAAAUAAAUUUCUAUUAACUU
rnacentral:tRNA from 1 species